rnacentral:rRNA from 1 species
GACGAACGCUGGCGGCGUGCUUAACACAUGCAAGUCGAACGGAAAGGCCCUGCGUUUGUGGGGUGCUCGAGUGGCGAACGGGGGAGUAACACGUGUGUAACCUGUCCUUGACUUUGGGAUAACUUCAGGAAACUGGGGCUAAUAUCGGAGAGGAGCUACUGCUGCAUGGUGGGGGUUGGAAAGUUUCGGCCGUGGUGGAUGGACUCGCGGCUUAUCCGCUUGUUGGUGGGGUAGGGGCUGACAAAGGCUUUGACGGGUAGCCGGCCUGGGAGGGUGACCAGCCACAUUGGGCCUACGGUACGGCCCAGAAUCCUAUGGGAGGCAGCAGUGGGGAGUCUUGCGCAACGGGCGGAAGCCUGAUGCGGCAGCGCCGCGUUCGUGAUGACCGCUUUCGGGUUGUAAACCGAUUUCGACUGUGCCGAAGCGUGCGUGACGGUAAUGGGUAAGGAAGCACCGGCUAACUACGUG